CUUGCGUAAGAGAGCGCUGGCCGGCAACGCACGUGUCGACGUUCUCCCGCCGUACUGUCUCCCUCUAUCUUUGCCUGUCUACUGUGCGCGCCGACACAAUGUCCACCGGGACCAUCUCCGCUGCCGCCCUGCAGUACUUUGAGUCGAAGGGCAUUCAGUCGAUUCUAGAUGAAGCGAUGCACAACUUGGUGCUGGAGAUGCCGGCAGACCCACUCAUUUUCCUCGAGGAGGCCUUCCGCAGGCCGACCCCCCUUCACAUCAUCAUCACCGGCCCACCCGGCAGCGGCAAAACCACGCUGGCGGCCAAGUUGGCUGCCCAUUAUGGCAUCACGCACGUUGCUGCUACUUCCGCGGCUGCCGGAGACAUGGCGAUGCCAGCUGGUGUGCUCGGCGAGCUGAAAACUCUGCAGAAGGAUGGUAAGGGCUGGGUCCUGGACGGCUUCCCGCAAACGCGCGCAGACGCGAUUCAGCUGCAGACGUCGGGGAUAUUUCCUCAGCAAGUCUUUGAGCUGCAGGUCCCACUAGCAGUGGCGCUGGAGCGUGCCAUCUUCACCGCGUCUGACCCAUCCAAAAACACCGAAGAGGCGACGGCGAUUGCGAAAAACUACGAGCACUACGAUGUGCGCAGAAUAGAGGUCACCACUUCCUACCAGCACUGCUACCGUGGCAUCGAUGCCACUGUCUCCGCCGAGGAGGUGGCUGCGGAAGCUCUGAAGGCCAUCGAUGCGUUGCAGCUCUUGUGAAGCCUGAACAUUACCGACAGCGCCGAACAAGGGCGAACACCAAUAGGGUAGUUUCAUGUCGCUCCACCGGAGUCGGAUGAACAGCUCCGGUACACGUUUUUUUUUGCUGAUGAGUUGCGACUCCGGUGGUUUGUUCCAGUACGAUGUAAUGUAGAGCACCCGUGGCUGCCUCUUUGCUCCAGAGGUGGAACGUAUUUG
rnacentral:misc_RNA from 1 species